CACGGGGGGAGCAAGCGUUGUUCGGAAUUACUGGGCGUAAAGCGUGCGCAGGCGGUUUGCUAAGACCGAUGUGAAAUCCCCGGGCUUAACCUGGGAACUGCAUUGGUGACUGGCAAGCUAGAGUGUGGCAGAGGGGGGUAGAAUUCCACGUGUAGCAGUGAAAUGCGUAGAGAUGUGGAGGAAUACCGAUGGCGAAGGCAGCCCCCUGGGCCAACACUGACGCUCAUGCACGAAAGCGUGGGGAGCAAACAGG
rnacentral:rRNA from 1 species